rnacentral:rRNA from 1 species
AAUAUUGGACAAUGGGCGAAAGCCUGAUCCAGCCAUGCCGCGUGAGUGACGAAGGCCUUAGGGUUGUAAAGCUCUUUUGGCGGGGACGAUAAUGACGGUACCCGCAGAAUAAGCCCCGGCUAACUUCGUGCCAGCAGCCGCGGUAAUACGAAGGGGGCUAGCGUUGUUCGGAAUUACUGGGCGUAAAGCGUACGUAGGCGGAUCAGAAAGUAUGGGGUGAAAUCCCGAGGCUCAACCUCGGAACUGCCUCAUAAACUCCUGGUCUUGAGUUCGAGAGAGGUGAGUGGAAUUCCAAGUGUAGAGGUGAAAUUCGUAGAUAUUUGGAGGAACACCAGUGGCGAAGGCGGCUCACUGGCUCGAUACUGACGCUGAGGUACGAAAGUGUGGGGAGCAAACAGGAUUAGAUACCCUGGUAGUCCACACCGUA